UUCGAAGCAACGCGAAGAACCUUACCAGGUCUUGACAUCCUCUGACAAUCCUAGAGAUAGGACGUCCCCUUCGGGGGCAGAGUGACAGGUGGUGCAUGGUUGUCGUCAGCUCGUGUCGUGAGAUGUUGGGUUAAGUCCCGCAACGAGCGCAACCCUUGAUCUUAGUUGCCAGCAUUCAGUUGGGCACUCUAAGGUGACUGCCGGUGACAAACCGGAGGAAGGUGGGGAUGACGUCAAAUCAUCAUGCCCCUUAUGACCUGGGCUACACACGUGCUACAAUGGACAGAACAAAGGGCAGCGAAACCGCGAGGUUAAGCCAAUCCCACAAAUCUGUUCUCAGUUCGGAUCGCAGUCUGCAACUCGACUGCGUGAAGCUGGAAUCGCUAGUAAUCGCGGAUCAGCAUGCCGCGGUGAAUACGUUCCCGGGCCUUGUACACACCGCCCGUCACACCACGAGAGUUUG
rnacentral:rRNA from 1 species